UGAUAUUUGUUUUGCUAUAAAUCUAUAAAACUAGCUUUAUUUCAACUAGUGAGAAGUAUUAUAUUUUUGGGAUUUACAUAAUUAAGGAAAAAGUGACCAUCCAAAAAUUAUGAACACUCUGAGGUUGUAAUCGCGUCGUGGCCGUUACUCUUCGGGUGCCCGUUAAUGACAAUAAUUCAAUAGGCCGGCGUCAAUUAUUCAGUUUAAUCCAUGGUUACUGCGUUUCAAGACGUAGUUUUUUAUUUUUAUUUUUUUUUAUUAUUUAUUUAGACAUAUUCAUUUUUUCGUCUUAAAUGCUCUAGUGGUUGUAUAAAACAGGUUAUUUCCAUAUUGCGUUUUUCAGCCUUAUCAAACGAUGAAAUUAUACGAUGAUACGAUGAAAAAAUAUCAGGCCACAAUGAAACCGUUAAGUAAACCAAGGAAAGAGGAUUCAGUAAGGUAAGGUUUAGGCAGACGACUCACUACAACCAAAGUGCAGUACCCCGGCAUCUGCUGUGUAACAACCAAUGACCAGCAUAUACGUCAUGUCAUCGUCAUCACAAAAGGGGUGCAAUAUGUUUUAUUAAACACGAAAUAGUACACUUAAAACCCUUACAAUGUUGAAUUGUUAGGCAUAUUACAAAAAUAUGCCUAACAUGUCUUUGAGAAUAGCUGAAAUAGACAAAAAACUAGCAAGUAGCUAGCUAGCAAGACACACAACAGUGCUAGCUAGGUUUGGUUAGCAGUAGCUAGCUAACCUAGUCAAGAUAUUGCUAAUCAGAUGUCUCCUUGUGUUUUUGUACAGCAAUGGACAUUUUUGUUAAACAAAAACUCACCAACUGGAAUCUUGAGUGCCUCGUUGAAAAAUUUGCAGAUGAGCAGAUAGAUGAUGACAGUUUCUUGUUAUUGGAUGAGAACACAAUUGCAGCACUCAUCCCAAAAAUUGGCCUCCGACUAAACUUUUUAAAACAUUUCCAAGAACUAAAAUUAGUAAUGCAAUACAUGCAAUAUAUCUGUUUUCGUUGCCAAGCAAUCAUAGCUGACUUGAAACAAUUUUUUACACACUUAAGGGCAGUCCACAGCAUUAACAGUGCUUCUGCACAUUUUGAAUGCAAUCUGAAUGGUUGUCAAAGGACUUUUUAUUAUAUGAGAUCAUACAGAAGGCACCUAGUUCAACACAAUAUUGACCAUGACACCAGCAACUCAGCUAGGUGUGAUUCUGACCAGGCUCCCAGUUUGAAAUUUGAGGCACUUGAUGCUCAAGAACAUUCUUGUAAGGAAGUGUCUGACUUUAGUGGGGUUUGUGAUUUGGAUGAUUUGGAAGAAGAGGAUAUGACAGAUCGGGUAGCUUUUUUCCUGGCUAAACUGAAAUCGAAGUCUUCACAGACUUUCACUGAUGUUCAUUUUACAGUGCAGGAAACAUCAAGUCUGUAGUCUGAUAUUGUCUCCAAGCUUCAGGAAAGAACAAUGUCUUUGCUUAAAGAUCUUGGACAAGACAAAAGCAUAGAAGCACAAGAAUUGAACAGUCAAUUCGAGGUAGCUUCUGAGCCUUUCAAAGGCCUAGAAACUGAAUAUAGGCAAAUGAAGUAUUUUAUGCAGUCUGGCAACUUCAUUCAGCCAGUUGAGGAGGCUUUCCCGGGCAUUUCCUAUGUUCAGCACACAGAUUCCAACAGUGGUACAGUUAAGCAAAUUUCAGUGCGUGACACGUUUCAGCGUAUUCCACUUAGACCUCUCCUAAAAAAGAUACUUGAACUGCCAGGUAUCAUGUCUAAGGUCGUUGCAUGGCAGAAGCAAGACAGUGGUGCUCUGCAAGACUUUUGUGAUGGUGAGCUCUGCAAAAACCAUGCCCUGUUCUCCCAUGAAGUCUCUAUUCCUCUUCUUCUUUACAUUGAUGAUGUAGAGACUGUGAAUCCCCUUGGCUCAAAGACAUCUGUCCACAAAUUAGGAUUUAUGUAUUUUGCUAUCAAAUGUUUACCGAAAGAGCUGCUUUCCAGCCUUACCUCCCUAUUUUUGCUGGCAGUCUACAAAACUGAUGACACCAAAACCUAUGGCAUUGAUGCCGUUUUAAAGCCCGUAGUGGAGGACGUGAAAUCAUUAGAGAAAGAGGGUGUUGAUAUCAAAACAGCAUCCUUUGAGGGAACAGUAAAUGUCAGCAUCUGCCAGGUUGUUGGUGAUAAUUUGGGGCUGAAUGCAGUUCUUGGAUUUACUGUAAGCUUUGCAAGCAAUUAUGCUUGCUGGUGGUGCCGUGUUCCAAAAGAAGUCCUUAGGGUACAGAUAAAAGAAGACCGUGGCAUUCUCCGAACUGCUGAGUCCAAUGAGAGAGACAUUGGUCUUGAUAAUGUCUCAGACACUGGCCUAAAAUGUGCAAGUGCCCUCAAUGAUCUCCACUUUUUUGAUGUCAGCAAAAACAUGGCGCCAGACAUUAUGCAUGACAUCUUAGAAGGUGUAGGGAGUUAUGAGAUGAAGCUGAUCAUAACUCACUGAUUGAGGAAGGACACUUCACUGUAGACACUAAAUUACAGGAUCACAAGCUUUGACUAUGGCAUUAGUGAUGUCCACAACAAGCCCACUUUGAUUACAAAGCAUUACCUGCGUAACAAAGAUGGGGUCAUGAAGCAGACAGCAGCACAGAUGUGGUGCCUUUUGAGACUGUUUCCUCUAAUGGUUGGAGAUCUAGUCCCAGAGUCAAAUAGGUUCUGGGAGCUACUGCUUCUCCUUCUUUCCUGCAUGGAAUUUAUUUUUUUCUCCAUCUCUCACUGUCGAGAGCACAAUCUACUUGAAGUGGCUAAUAGAGGAGCACCAUACUCUCUUUCUUGAGUUGUACCCACAUCAACAUCUGAAACCUAAACACCACUUCAUGUUGCAUUAUCCAAGAGCCAUAAGACAGCUUGGGCCAUUGGUGCAGUUUUGGACUAUGCGAUUUGAAGCGAAGCAUGGCUUCUUUAAACGCAUAAGCCAUAUCACGUGCAACUUCAGGAAUAUCUGUAAGACGAUGGCCAUUAGACAUCAAGUAAUGUUGUGUUACAAUUUCUUUUCUGGAGGUGUCUUUGAUCACAGUGUUGAAGUUGGCCAAGGUCACAGCACUAUUCUCGCUGAUCUUGAGAGAUGUGAUGAAAUCCAAGGAGGCUUGGAAAAUAUUCCAUCCUACACAGAGGUGUAUGUGCCAGCCUGGGUAGAACUUAAGGGAACAACAUAUAGGCCAGGUAUGACAGUGUUUGUGUCUUACUGUUCAAGUGGUGACCCACAAUUUGGAUGUAUAAGACACUGCUUGGCUUUUAACUCCAAAUUCAUAUUAGUGGUUGAGAAGUUAGUCACUGUUGGAUUUGAAAGGCAUUUAUUUGCCUUUGCUGUGCAACACACUCGUGCCAUCACAUGUAUUGAUGUCACUGAUCUGACUGAUCAUCAUCCUGUUCAUACAGUUCAGUCAUUCAGAAAGAAUGAUGACUGUUUUUGUGUCUCUCCGAUACAGGGUGUUGUAAUGGUCUGAAAAAAUUUGAAAUCAGUUAUUGUUUAAAAUGGUCAAAUAUAAUGUCAUUUAAUUCCAUGUAAUCUAACCAUAUCUGGUUUAAUCCAUAUAAAGUUUUCUUAGUGUAGGCUUUUCAAAAAUUAUUUAGAAAAUCAGUUUGCAUUUUGUCAAACAAAUACAGUCUAGGUAGGGGAAGAUAUUUUUUUGUUGGAGGCAAGCUUCAUCAUUAUCUAGCUCCAAGCAUGCAUAGAGUUCUGUGAAACCAGAGGUGCCUAUGUCCACAAGCCAGCUAUGGAGACGGGUCAGGACCAGUAGACCUUUGACAUAGAAUUUGUGCACAUUUCAGGCUUGGCAGUUGUGUGAGUCAAAAAGUGCAAUAUGAAAUAUGAUUUGUAUUUCCAAGUAUUCCUUAUCAAUUUCUCAGUUCAUUUUAAAUGCAUUAAGUUAACUUAUAUUUUUAUAUAGAAUACUGUAUAUUGUAUUUGCCUAAACAUUGUUUUUAUUUUUAAUUUUUUUCCUGUAGAACAGUAUCCCACCACAGCACAGCACUGCAUAUGAAAAUGCGCAGGCCACCAUUGCAUCUGAAAUUGCACAGCCCAACUCUGCAUCAGAAAAUACACAGCCAACAUUUGUUCUUAAUCUUUUUCCAGAUGACACGUUUGUAUGUUUCCUGACAACUAGGAAAAGCAUGACUACUGACAACUAUUUUUAAUUUGUUGUCAGUACCUUUUUGUAAAGUAACAUUUCCUAUUUGCAUUCAGUAAGAUACUGUAGUUUACUGACAACUCUGCUAUGUACCAGGAUAUCUGUGCAAUACUGAUGAAAGCACCACAUGGACCCUCCAUUGUGGAGAGUCUAGAGAGUAAUAAAAUUACCACCAAGCAAAGACGUGCAAUGGUGCGAAUUACUGUUUCUUAUCUUAUUGAGAAAUAUGGCGAAACGUGAGUAUAAAUACGUUGUAUUUGCAUGUAUUUUCACCCAAAUCAAGACAGAAUGAGACUAUCUAUUUUGAAACAAUGUUUUUCUUUCUUAUUUGGCAAUCAUAAUACAGACCAUCAACAGAGACCAAAAAGGCAAUGGCCAUGUCUCUAGUAGAGACAUUUCCCUGUCUCCGUGACCCUGAAGGAAAUGGCUUUGAGGCCUGGUUCAGCCAGGGGCGAAAACACAGGCCUUCCACAGGAUUUCUUGAGGAGCGCCUUCGCAAUAUAAGAAAGAGGAUGCGGAGAUUAAGAACACAGCCCUCCGUAGUGCCUGUCUGUGAGGAGAGGUUGACUUUCAUUCCUACAUCAACUUUGUCUUCUGAGAGAGCAAUUCAAUUAAAAGAAUGGCUAAAAAAACAAUACCAGACCACAGGUUGAGCAGUAUAUGAAAGCAACUGCUCUUUUUAGGGCUCACUGGAUUCGCCAGAACAGCUCCAAACCAAUAUCUGAGAUUUUAUCAGAGUUCCCUCGUCUAAUGGAUACCCCAGGCAUGAUAUCUCAAGACUUUAGUGUACUUCACCCUGAUGCUGCUGACAAAUUGUGCUCAUCCUGGUUGCCUGACUUUGCUGACAAGAUCCUGGCCUUUGCUAAAAGAGAUGGACGACAAAUGGAUUUACUCAAUUUAGACAACAUGUCUGCAGAUACCAAAGGCACCAUGGCACUGAAAAUUUUACCUCAGAUCAUUCCACCAUCAGUGUACAAGAUUGGCAACAAAACCUUCCAGCCAACUAUUGAGGAAGCCAGAACCUCUUUCAUUGAUGUACAACCAUCUGGAACCAACAUGGUGCAGUACCUACUAAAACAGAGGGAGGAGAGGCCCUUCCCAUUUGUCUUAGAACUUGGAGUUGGUGGACAGUUUUUUGUGGUGGUGAAUGGGGAAGCCCUAGAAGAGCAGACUCUCCUCAAGGCAGUAGAUGUUUGUUUUAAGUCCUUUUUUUGCUUUGACACCCACUUUCCAAAACAAUGCGCCCUUGCAUGGGAGUUUUUGCAGCAGGUAGUUUAUGAGAUGCCUGGUUCCGAAAAUUCAACAAUUCGCUUUUUGCGUGCCUCCAUUUAUGCUGCUGAGGACUAAAUUGUUUAUUAAACUAACUAAUGCAGGUAUUUUGUAUCCAUGUAUGUAUCUAUAUUUAUUUAUUUAUUUAUUUAUUUGGUGUAUUGUGAAUUGAUUUGCUACAAUUUAGGAAUUAAUGUACAUUCUUAAUAAUUAAAGCACUGCCUUGUUCCAAAAAUUUAAUUAAACAUUGUUUGAAUUAUUUGAUGCUGGACUAAAUAAAUUAAAUGUUAAAUAAAAAUAUUGAUAGUAUUUAUUUAAUUUGAUAUGCUGUAAAAUAACUAUUUGCUAUUAUUUUGUCAUCCAAAAGCUUUUUAAUAGUUUUUUAAUUUUCUGCCUGGUUCAGAAUAAAAUGAUAAUUUUUGCUGGCCAUUUACUAAUUAAAUAAAAU